AAACCGGAUGCAUACAAACAGUGGGAGCCUGGAAACGGGUGACUGCGUACCUUUUGUAUAAUGGGUCAGCGACUUACAUUCAGUAGCGAGCUUAACCAGAUAGGGGAGGCGUAGCGAAAGCGAGUCCGAACAGGGCGUUGAGUUGCUGGGUGUAGACCCGAAACCGGAUGAUCUAUCCAUGGCCAGGAUGAAGGUGCGGUAACACGCACUGGAGGUCCGAACCCACGUCUGUUGCAAAAGACGGGGAUGAGCUGUGGAUAGGGGUGAAAGGCUAAACAAAUCCGGAAAUAGCUGGUUCU
rnacentral:rRNA from 1 species